CAGGGGGUAGUUUAUUUAAAACGCUAGUUUUGGGGAUUAGAGAUAGGGGCUACUUUCUUCCUGA
rnacentral:tRNA from 1 species